GCCGAAAGCGCCUCCCGCCCUAGCCGCUGCGAGUAGCGGGCACCGGACCCCGCCUCUCCUACGGUGCCGCUGAUUCCGCGCUGCACCAACUACCAGAUGGGACACCACAUUCUGCAAACAAAGGUAACUGUCUGGUUUCCAUUUCCCUGGAUGGUCUCAGGGUGGCAGC